GACGAACGCUGGCGGCGUGCUUAACACAUGCAAGUCGUACGGUACGGCCCUUUCGUUUGUACACGAGUGGAGAGCGGGAGGGUAACACGUGAGUAACCUGCCCACCCCUUUGGUAUAACGCUAGGAAACUGGAGCUAAUACUGGAUAUGUGCUCCUGCUGCAUGGGGGGGGUGGGGAGGUCCGGCGGUUGUGGAUGGACUUGCGGCCUAGCAGCUGGUUUGUGGGGUAGUGGGCUACCAAGGCGGCGACGGGUAGCCGGCCUGAGAGGGUGACCGGCCACAGUGGGACUGAGAUACGGCCCAGAGUCCUACGGGAGGCAGCAGUGGGGAAGAUUGCACAAUGGGCGCAAGCCGGAUGCAGCAACGCCGCGUGCGGGAUGACGGCCUUCGGGGUGUAAGACGCAUGCAGCAGGGACGAAGCUUUUUGUGACGGUACCUGCAGAAGAAGCACCGGCUAACUACGUG
rnacentral:rRNA from 1 species